rnacentral:rRNA from 1 species
GAUGAACGCUGGCGGCGUGCCUAGUACAUGCAAGUCGAGCGAACGGACGAGAAGCUUGCUUCUCUGAUGUUAGCGGCGGACGGGUGAGUAACACGUGGAUAACCUACCUAUAAGACUGGGAUAACUUCGGGAAACCGGAGCUAAUACCGGAUAAUAUUUUGAACCGCAUGGUUCAAAAGUGAAAGACGGUCUUGCUGUCACUUAUAGAUGGAUCCGCGCUGCAUUAGCUAGUUGGUAAGGUAACGGCUUACCAAGGCAACGAUGCAUAGCCGACCUGAGAGGGUGAUCGGCCACACUGGAACUGAGACACGGUCCAGACUCCUACGGGAGGCAGCAGUAGGGACUCUUCCGCAAUGGGCGAAAGCCUGACGGAGCAACGCCGCGUGAGUGAUGAAGGUCUUCGGAUCGUAAAGCUCUGUUAUUAGGGAAGAACAUAUGUGUAAGUAACUGUGCACAUCUUGACGGUACCUAAUCAGAAAGCCACGGCUAACUACGUG